UUUCAAUAAGCGGAGGAAAAGAAACCAACCGGGAUUGCCUUAGUAGCGGCGAGUGAAGCGGCAAGAGCUCAAUUUGAAAUCUAGUACCUUUGGUGCUCGAGUUGUAAUUUGUAGAGUAGUGCCUUGGGGCCGUUCCUUGCCUAUGUUCCUUGGAACAGGACGUCAUGGAGGGUGAGAACCCCGUGUGGCGAGGGGUGCGGUUCUGUGUAAGGCCUGCUCGAAGAGUCGAGUUGUUUGGGAAUGCAGCUCUAAGUGGGUGGUAAAUUCCAUCUAAAGCUAAAUACAGGCGAGAGACCGAUAGCGAACAAGUACAGUGAUGGAAAGAUGAAAAGAACUUUGAAAAGAGAGUGAAAAAGUACGUGAAAUUGUUGAAAGGGAAGGGCAUUUGAUCAGACAUGGUGUUUUGCGCCCCCUGCUCCUUGUGGGUGGGGGAAUCUCGCAGCUCACUGGGCCAGCAUCAGUUUUGGCGGCUGGAUAAAUCCGGAGGAAUGUGGCUUCUCUCGGGAAGUGUUAUAGCCUGCGGGAAUACGGCCAGCCGGGACUGAGAACGCGACGCAAUCAAGAUGCUGCAUAAUGUAUAUCGGU
rnacentral:rRNA from 1 species